rnacentral:rRNA from 1 species
UUAGAGUUUGAUCCUGGCUCAGGAUGAACGCUAGCGGCAGGCCUAACACAUGCAAGUCGAGGGGCAGCACGGGUAGCAAUACCUGGUGGCGACCGGCGCACGGGUGAGUAACGCGUAUGAAACCUGCCCCCCGCUGGGGGAUAGCCCGUCGAAAGGCGGAUUAAUACCCCAUAGUUCCCCCGGACCACCUGGUCUGGGGGGUAAAGUUUUGGCGGCGGGGGAUGGUCAUGCGUGCCAUUAGCUAGUUGGCGGGGUAAUAGCCCACCAAGGCGAUGAUGGCUAGGGGGUCUGAGAGGAUGGUCCCCCACACUGGUACUGAGACACGGACCAGACUCCUACGGGAGGCAGCAGUGAGGAAUAUUGGUCAAUGGGCGAAAGCCUGAACCAGCCAUGCCGCGUGCAGGAAGACGGCCCUACGGGUUGUAAACUGCUUUUGUACGGGAAGAAUGGCCCCCUCGUGAGGGGGUUUGACGGUACCGUACGAAUAAGGAUCGGCUAACUCCGUGCCAGCAGCCGCGGUAAUACGGAGGAUCCGAGCGUUAUCCGGAUUUACUGGGUUUAAAGGGUGCGUAGGCGGACGCCUAAGUCAGCGGUGAAAGGCAGCGGCUCAACCGUUGGAUUGCCGUUGAAACUGGGCGUCUUGGAUUCGGUCGAGGCCGGCGGAAUGCGUGGUGUAGCGGUGAAAUGCAUAGAUAUACCACAGAACACCGAUUGCGAAGGCAGCUUACUAAACUGUCACUGACGCUGAUGCACGAAAGCGUGGGUAUCAAACAGGAUUAGAUACCCUGGUAGUCCACGCUGUAAACGAUAAUGGCUGGUUGUUUGCGAUACCCCGCAAGGGACUGAGGGAAAGCAUUAAGUAAUCCACCUGGGGAGUACGUCGGCAACGAUGAAACUCAAAGGAAUUGACGGGGGCCCGCACAAGCGGAGGAACAUGUGGUUUAAUUCGAUGAUACGCGAGGAACCUUACCUGGGUUUAAAUGGGGAGUGACAGGCUUGGAAACAGGCCCAUAUUCGGACACUCUUCAAGGUGCUGCAUGGUUGUCGUCAGCUCGUGCCGUGAGGUGUCGGGUUAAGUCCCAUAACGAGCGCAACCCCUAUCGAUAGUUACCAGCACGCUACGGUGGGGAGUCUAUCGAGACUGCCGGUGUAAACCGUGAGGAGGGUGGGGAGGACGUCAAAUCAGCACGGCCCUUACAUCCAGGGCUACACACGUGUUACAAUGGCCGGUACAAAGGGCAGCUACACAGCGAUGUGAUGCUAAUCUCCAAAUCCGGUCUCAGUUCGGAUCGAAGUCUGCAACCCGACUUCGUGAAGCUGGAUUCGCUAGUAAUCGCGCAUCAGCCAUGGCGCGGUGA